rnacentral:lncRNA from 7 species
AUGAAAAAAGCACCACUUGCCAGGAGCACUCCAGUGCCUCAUUCCCGAGGGCCAAGAUGGGCUUCCCCAUGGCUGGGCUCAAUGCCUGCUCUAGAGAGAGCAAUUGAUGCCCCGACAUUUGAUUUCUGUCCAGGAGGGGAAUGCCAUCAGGGUGUUUACUUACGUGCUGAAAUGCUGGAAGGUGCUCAGAGGACACGAUUCCCUGGGGAAACCCUGCGAGAGCAGUGGGGGGAGGUGGGGGACGGGGGCAGCCAGGCUGUGUACGUCGGAGCUGUUCCAAGGCACUGUCUCAUUGGCAACUUGCUAUUUGCUUUGCUUCUGAAGGAAGCUCUUCACCUUCGUGAGACACAGCCUUCUUUACCUGAGGACAUGUCACUUCACUACGAAGAGCAAACACAGCACAAAGCACUAGCGCUGUCGCCGAACAGGGGACAAGUGCUGCGGUUUGGGUCUUGUGCUCCCACCCCUCACCCACAGAGCCCUAUAACUUUCAGGCUGCACACCCCUCCCACAGGCCACAUCCGCCUGGCUUCCACCCCGCAGGGUCCCCUCGGAGACAGUAUGGCUACCCAGUGCCUUUGCCUCCUGAUUCUCACCUCCCUGCUGGCCCUGGCAGCACCUCUUGUCUUUGACAUAAAAAACUUGCAUCUCUUAAAUGGAACGAUGGAUGAAAUUAUGAAUAUUCACCCUGAGCCCGUCCAGCCUGCAUCAAGUUCUUCAGCCCCUCUGUGAGCCCACUAGUCUGAACCCCAGAGCCCCUGGGAUCACAGAAGGGACAGAUUCAUCUGUGGACGUACACAAGAUGUCCUU